GUAAUGUCAUGACGUCAUCCUCACCAGUCUGGUUGGUGGCAUGAACGCCAGGGACACUCUGGCUCAAAAACUCCUAGUAAGAAACACUCUGGAAGAGCAUGAACGGUCCGCCACAUCCCAGGAGUCUGCAGCAGCUGAGGCGGAUCUGGCUCAUCUGACAUAGGAAGGACCAGACCUCCUACAGAGAUCCCAGAGUGUGCUCGGAGUCACAUAGCUGCCUGGAUCCAGCCACAGGUUUGAUCAUCUGCCUCUCCAGAUGAUGAAGAGUAAACAGCAGCUGGAGUCACUCUUCUGAUGAGAGCAGGGCUCUACUGUGCUUCUGCUGCAGGAGAAGAGUUUGUUCAUGUCUCUUUUGGGUAUUAACAGGAAACAAAAGCCUAAUCACUCAGGCAGCAUGACUCAAGACUUAAACAUGUGGCAGAAUUCCCCAGAGUUUUCGCGGACUGCUUUCGAUUUCUCCUCAGUCUCCUUAAAUUUCAAACUGGCACGUCCUGACAAUAGUUUAGUUUAGUUUAUUUAUUUAUUUAGCAAGGGACAGUGUGCAAUGACAUUGAUCGUUCAUACAAAGUAAAUAAAAACAUGGCUGCACCAGAUUUAGCAAGUCGUUAAUUUCCAUCUGUUGUCCCACAUAAAACUGACACAAAACAGACAUAAAAGUACCAAAAACAAAGGCAGA